rnacentral:lncRNA from 1 species
AUUUGUGAUUGAUUUAUCUCCCUUUGUUCAGUGGUGUGAUGUGUUUAACCUUUCACCUGGGGCAUUUAAGGGUAAUAUGUUUUUACAACUUAUUUCCGCUAAUCUGUGUAAUCAGUGAAGCCAGGUGACAUUUUUAUAACACUUCGACUUUUAAUUGGUAAUGUGUCUGUAAUAUGUUUAUGAUUGAACAAUAUUGCCGGGA